GCACUGCUGAGGAAUCCGAAAUAGGAUGAAACGGCCGUCCAGUGC
rnacentral:hammerhead_ribozyme from 1 species